rnacentral:rRNA from 1 species
UACAGAGGGUGCAAGCGUUGUUCGGAAUUAUUGGGCGUAAAGCGCGUGUAGGCGGCUUUGCAAGUCGGGUGUGAAAUCCCUCAGCUCAACUGAGGAAGUGCGCCCGAAACUGCAGAGCUUGAAUAUCGGAGAGGAUGGCGGAAUUCCCCAAGUAGAGGUGAAAUUCGUAGAUAUGGGGAGGAACACCGGUGGCGAAGGCGGCCAACUGGACGAAUACUGACGCUGAGACACGAAAGCGUGGGGAGCAAACAGG